ACGGAAGGCAGCAGUGGGGAAUAUUGGACAAUGGGGGAAACCCUGAUCCAGCGACGCCGCGUGAGUGAAGAAGUAUUUCGGUAUGUAAAGCUCUAUCAGCAAGGAAGAAAAUGACGGUACUUGACUAAGAAGCCCCGGCUAACUACGUGCCAGCAGCCGCGGUAAUACGUGGGGGGCAAGCGUUAUCCGGAUUUACUGGGUGUAAAGGGAGCGUAGACGGCAUAGCAAGUCUGAAGUGAAAUGCAUGGGCUCAACCCAUGAACUGCUUUGGAAACUGUUAAGCUAGAGUGCAGGAGAGGUAAGUGGAAUUCCUAGUGUAGCGGUGAAAUGCGUAGAUAUUAGGAGGAACACCAGUGGCGAAGGCGGCUUACUGGACUGUAACUGACGUUGAGGCUCGAAAGCGUGGGGAGCAAACAGGAUUAGAUACCCUGGUA
rnacentral:rRNA from 1 species